AAGAGGCUCGCAACAGCAACAGGCUAGUCUUUGGACAUUUUGUACCCAGUGUAACGGCAGAUUUCCUCUUCGUCUGAAGAGGAGUAAGGAUCGGACCAAGCUGCAGCGUGGGAAGUGACUUAAAGAAGAGUAACGUUAAGGCCUCAACAUCUUGCUGAAUUGAUCUGAACAACAUCUCUGAAUUUCUGUUGGUGUCCAUUUUGAAAGUGCUGAACGAAUAGGCUUACCUC